UUUAUUUUAGUAUAUAAGUACAUAAAUUUUUGAAAUUUAUAGAAAUAAGUUAAAAUCUAUUAAAUAAAA
rnacentral:tRNA from 1 species